GCCCGCAUAGUUUAACGGUCAGAACAUAGGUCUCAUAUUCUCAUCGAUAUGACUCCUGCAUAGCACGGGCUAUCCUAAGAUCUGAGUUCGAUUCUCAGUGCAGGCA